rnacentral:rRNA from 1 species
GACGAACGCUGGCGGCGUGCUUAACACAUGCAAGUCGAACGGAAAGGCCCUGCUCUUGUGGGGUGCUCGAGUGGCGAACGGGUGAGUAACACGUGAGUAACCUGCCCUUGAAUUUGGGAUAACUUCAGGAAACUGGGGCUAAUACCGGAUAGGAGCUCCUGCUGCAUGGUGGGGGUUGGAAAGUUUCGGCGGUUGGGGAUGGACUCGCGGCUUAUCAGCUUGUUGGUGGGGUAGUGGCUUACCAAGGCUUUGACGGGUAGCCGGCCUGAGAGGGUGACCGGCCACAUUGGGACUGAGAUACGGCCCAGACGCCUACGGGAGGCAGCAGUGGGGAAUAUUGCACAAUGGGCGGAAGCCUGAUGCAGCAACGCCGCGUGCGGGAUGACGGCCUUCGGGUUGUAAACCGCUUUCGCCUGUGACGAAGCGUGAGUGACGGUAAUGGGUAAAGAAGCACCGGCUAACUACGUG